UACGUAGGGGGCUAGCGUUGUCCGGAAUCAUUGGGCGUAAAGCGCGUGUAGGCGGCUCGGUAAGUCCGCUGUGAAAGUCGGGGGCUCAACCCUCGGAUGCCGGUGGAUACUGUCGGGCUAGAGUCCGGAAGAGGAGAAUGGAAUUCCUGGUGUAGCGGUGAAAUGCGCAGAUAUCAGGAAGAACACCCGUGGCGAAGGCGGUUCUCUGGGACGGUACUGACGCUGAGACGCGAAAGCGUGGGGAGCGAACAGG
rnacentral:rRNA from 1 species